UUUAUAAUUUUAAUGGUCGAUAAGAGGCGUUUUCUCGUUUAAUGGCGUAAAGAUAUCCAAAUCAAUUGAAUUUUUGUCAUAAAAUUCUUUAAACUAUUUAAAACAAGAUCUAUACUCUUGAUCUUGAUUACAAGACUCUUAUCAUCAUUUUUUAAAGAGUAUUCAUUUUCAGCCAUUCAUUUUUCUGUUCACUUGAUGGAUAAAAAAACAAUAUCAAAAGUGCAUGAAAUUUGAUUUCUAGGUAGUUUAAAUGGUUUAUAUCAUAUUUAACGGAGCCGAUCGUCAAUUUGGAAGCUCUAUCAUCGAAAACAAAUCGAUAGUAAAACGGCUCAUUUACUACCGAUAGUAUUCUAGCUCAACUCAUAUAUACAUAUAUAUUAAAUGUGGUGUAUGAGUGGUAUAUGGGUACAGCAUGUGUAG
rnacentral:lncRNA from 1 species